rnacentral:rRNA from 1 species
GAUUAUGGCUCAGGAUGAACGCUAGCUACAGGCUUAACACAUGCAAGUCGAGGGGCAUCAUGUCGGUUGCUUGCAACCGAUGAUGGCGACCGGCGCACGGGUGAGUAACGCGUAUCCAACCUUCCCCUUAGUAGGGCAUAGCCCGUAGAAAUGCGGAUUAACACCCUAUGUUCUUCAUGGAUGGCAUCUGACGUGAAGCAAAGUUUACGCUAAGGGAUGGGGAUGCGUCUGAUUAGGUUGCAGGCGGGGUAACGGCCCACCUGGCCGACGAUCAGUAGGGGUUCUGAGAGGAAGGUCCCCCACAUUGGAACUGAGACACGGUCCAAACUCCUACGGGAGGCAGCAGUGAGGAAUAUUGGUCAAUGGGCGAGAGCCUGAACCAGCCAAGUAAGCGUGCAGGACGACGGCCCUAUGGGUUGUAAACUGCUUUUAUCAGGGGAUAAAGUCGGCUACGCGUAGCCGUUUGUAGGUACCUGAUGAAUAAGGACCGGCUAAUUCCGUGCCAGCCGCCGC